rnacentral:rRNA from 1 species
AGAUUGAACGCUGGCGGCAUGCCUUACACAUGCAAGUCGAACGGCAGCACGGGAGCAAUCCUGGUGGCGAGUGGCGAACGGGUGAGUAAUACAUCGGAACGUGCCCAAUCGUGGGGGAUAACGCAGCGAAAGCUGUGCUAAUACCGCAUAAGAUCUACGGAUGAAAGCGAGGGGAUCGCAAGACCUUGCGCGAAUGGAGCGGCCGAUGGCAGAUUAGGUAGUUGGUGGAGGUAAAGGCUCACCAAGCCUUCGAUCUGUAGCUGGUCUGAG